rnacentral:rRNA from 1 species
AUUGAACGCUGGCGGCAGGCCUAACACAUGCAAGUCGAGCGGAUGAAGGGAGCUUGCUCCUGGAUUCAGCGGCGGACGGGUGAGUAAUGCCUAGGAAUCUGCCUGGUAGUGGGGGAUAACGUCCGGAAACGGGCGCUAAUACCGCAUACGUCCUGAGGGAGAAAGUGGGGGAUCUUCGGACCUCACGCUAUCAGAUGAGCCUAGGUCGGAUUAGCUAGUUGGUGGGGUAAAGGCCUACCAAGGCGACGAUCCGUAACUGGUCUGAGAGGAUGAUCAGUCACACUGGAACUGAGACACGGUCCAUACUCCUACGGGAGGCAGCAGUGGGGAAUAUUGGACAAUGGGCGAAAGCCUGAUCCAGCCAUGCCGCGUGUGUGAAGAAGGUCUUCGGAUUGUAAAGCACUUUAAGUUGGGAGGAAGGGCAGUAAGUUAAUACCUUGCUGUUUUGACGUUACCAACAGAAUGAGCACCGGCUAACUUCGUG